CGCAGAUAGAAAACCUUGGAGUGUAAACACACUCAUUGGAACGCAUGUUCAUUUCACAUACAAAGCAAAUGUCUCUGCUGACUAAGGCCAGUAUCUCAUACUCAAGUGUUUAGUAGCAUCAUUUCCCAUAACCUUAGUGAAUAUGUACCUUCCAAACAAAAGGUCAACAUGCUACAUUUCAACGCAUUAUGAACACAGUUGCCCGACAUGUAGAAAGAGGCCGGCUUCGAUCUAACUCUAGAUGCACA